GGCGAACGCUGGCGGCGUGCUUAACACAUGCAAGUCGAACGAUGACGACCGAGCUUGCUCGGUCUGAUUAGUGGCGAACGGGUGAGUAACACGUGAGCAACCUGCCCUUCACUCUGGGAUAACCUCGGGAAAUCGGGGCUAAUACCGGAUAUGAGCUCCUGUCGCAUGGCGGGUGUUGGAAAGUUUUUCGGUGAAGGAUGGGCUCGCGGCCUAUCAGUUUGUUGGUGAGGUAGUGGCUCACCAAGGCGAUGACGGGUAGCCGGCCUGAGAGGGCGACCGGCCACACUGGGACUGAGACACGGCCCAGACUCCUACGGGAGGCAGCAGUGGGGAAUAUUGCACAAUGGGCGAAAGCCUGAUGCAGCGACGCCGCGUGAGGGAUGACGGCCUUCGGGUUGUAAACCUCUUUCAGCAGGGAAGAAGCGAAAGUGACGGUACCUGCAGAAGAAGCGCCGGCUAACUACGUG
rnacentral:rRNA from 1 species